rnacentral:sRNA from 1 species
CUUCAUCUCCUUCUUCUUCUUCUUCUCCUUCUUCUU